rnacentral:rRNA from 1 species
UACGAAGGGGGCUAGCGUUGUUCGGAAUUACUGGGCGUAAAGCGUGCGCAGGCGGCUUCUCAAGUUAGUGGUGAAAGCCCGGAGCUCAACUCCGGAACUGCCAUUGAAACUGUGAAGCUUGAGGACGAGAGAGGUGAGUGGAAUUCCCAGUGUAGAGGUGAAAUUCGUAGAUAUUCGGAAGAACACCAGUGGCGAAGGCGGCUCACUGGCCCGUUACCGACGCUCAGGCGCGACAGCGUGGGGAGCAAACAGG